rnacentral:lncRNA from 1 species
GUUUUACCAGACCAGGGCUCAGGACCUGACACCAGCUCAUUUGCAGGGCCCAUUCCCACUUCCUCUCUCUUUAGAGACUAAGCAAGGACCUCUCCCAGAGGACACAAUCUCCGCACUAAGCUCUCAGGCAGCCGGGAUUGCAAGAAGGAAGAGCAGAGAAAUGAGCCUCCAGAGCGGGAUCCCAAGGGUGUCUCCAGGUGGCUGUGGGUACUGCUUGCUCUGCUGGUUGCUGUCCAAAUCUGGUGCUCAGUGGAGGCAGAGGUGUGGGCCUCGGGGGAGCAGAGGCCGCCAGUGCUGCCAGGGGCCUUUCAUUACUCAUUGCUAAUUGUGGCAAAUGGGGAUUUUAUUGCUCCCUUGGCCCUCACUGUGAGCUACAGCAGCUCCUUGACAAGGAGGUGGAAGACCAGCCUGGGAGACCCUGCCUGGCUGCUGCAUUCAGCCCUGCACACGAGCCUGGGUCCAACAGCCAUCUGGAUGAGGUGGUGGGAGUCCUCAGCAUGGGCCAUUCAUAUUGAGAUAACACCCGGACACCCACGGCUCUCAGUAAGUGCUCACUGCUCUGCUGUAUUGGUGGUUCCUGCAGAGCUGCAGAGAGGACAGGGACUCCUCACUAUCCCAUAAGAGAAGCCAAGCCCAGAUGUGAGCUGGACGAGAUGAAGAAAUCAAUGGCCCAUGGUCCCUUCGCAAGAUGCUGUACCUCCAGCACCUUCAUCCACGGUCAUUAUGGACCAUGUGUCUCUGAGUCCAGAAGGGACGGAGAUGGGACCCAGCCUUGCUCCCGCUGCACAGAGGAGAAACAGACUCAGAGAUGAAAUACCACUCUCCACUCACACAGCCAUGAAUUUGACUUGCAAGCCACUGCACCCUUGAAAGCAGCAUCUUGUGAGAAAUAAAGCAUUUGAGAAACAUUUGUUGAGAAUCGGCUAAAAGCCUAAUGUAAUCUGUUUUAGAAGGUAGGGAUUGGGGACAGGAGAGAUCAGUGCAUGACUUCAUAGAGCUCACAUUCUACUGGCAGGAUCAGAUGAUAGAUAUGGAAAGAAGCAAAUACAUAUAAUUUCAGCAAAUUUAAGUUAUUUUGAAAAAUAGCAUGACAGGGCAGGAGGUGAUUGUGGCAGGGAAUGGGGGCAAUCAGGA